GCUUUUCUUAGCCUGUCUUGGAUGUGGGGUGAAGGUUCAGACAGCCUGCUGUGAUUUUAUCAAUGAAGGAGGGCACAUGCGCCCUCACGCCUCUGGCACCCUGACGCAGGGGUGGCUGAGUGACACAGCAAUGGCUGAGCCUGUGCAGGGCUGGGAGCUGGGCUGGAAGACCACCUCAGGAAGCCCAUGGUCCCCUCUCUGGGAGCUGCUCUCUGGGCAGCUCAACACAGUGGACUUUCAUACAACUGGGGAGCUGGAGGGACUUAAGAGAUGAGGAAAGGGAGGCUGCCAGAGAAGUGAUGUGGCUUGCUCAAGUCUCCCAAUUUCCCUGCAUCCUGCCUCUGUCUUUCUCACUUCCAAAUUCAGGAUUCAUCAUUGUCCUGCUUGGGGAUAGGAUGAGGAAGAAAUAACGUCCAGGGGCCUUUUCUCUGGGCGUUGCUGUCUCGAGAAGAAAAGCCAGUGGCAACUCCUUUUUCCUCUUCUGGCAUGACUGCAGCCUGGAGUCCUGGAGGAGGGAUUACUCAGAAGGUGGAGAGGGGCAGCCAUCAGCUUAAUGAAUGAAAACAGAGGCCCAGAGAGAUCAAGCCAUUUGCCUGGGGUCACACAGCUGCUAAGAAAUGGAUCUGCGAUUUGAAUGGCACUCUCACUACGGUGUCAUGCUACGUUGCUGCUGAUCCCACUGUGUGCAGGGACCUCCUUGGAGCAUGAAAGGAAUCCUCUCUCUCCCACAUCUCAUUGGUCACCCAGUUCUGUUGCUUCUAUCCCCUGACAUUGCAGAGCGGGCCCCACCUCUGCACAAAGACAUAAGGCUUUGCUGCCACAGACCUCCUUCUGAAACAUAAAUCAUGUCCUUUAACUCACCUAAUUAAAAUAGAAAGAUCUUCACUUGCUUCCCAUGACUUUCAGGAUAAAGGCCAAAGUCCUUAACAAUGCCACACAAAAUUUUAAAGAUGGCCCUGCCUGUCCCUCCCACCUUCCUUCCCACCUUCCUCCUUGGCUUGGCUAGGUUCUUUACAUCCACCUCAACUUGCUUCUUUCUUGUCUCUAGUAGCUUCUGUCAUAGCUGACCGUCUUGGACUCUGUAGGCCGAGCCCCCGGGUAUUCUGCUUAGAGUUUUCAAAAUUUUGUAGUUGGAUGACUGAGGAGGGGCUUGCACCCUCUGGUUCAUUCUGCAACCCUUCACUUACUAUCUAUGGCCCUUCCUUCAUUUACCUUGUUGGCCUCUGAUAGCAAUUGAGUUUGUACUGUCUGCUACAUCCUGGGCCCCUUGCUUCUCCUUGUCUGGUUUGAUAACUCCUACACACCCUUCAAAACCCAACUUAAAUGCUCCCCUGACUCAAGUUGACUAUUCCUUUCUUUGAGCUUCACAAGGGCCUUGCCCUUACCCCAUCAGCACUGUAUCUCACUCUGUCUUAGUGGCUUACUGACAUGUGUGUCUCUCUCCCCACAGGACUAGUCAUGCCUGAAUUCCUCAAUCCAUGAUACUUGACUAAAAUAAAGUAACAAGCAAAGAAGGAAGACUUUCCCAACAGCUUCCCAGGCUGCAGCAGCCUCUGCCUCCCAGCCAAGCUUCUGGGAGGCCAGGUGGGACUGGCCCUGAAUUCCUUCAGCAACCCCCUCUGCCACCAUGUCUGGCCAAGUCAUGAGAGAGAAGUUUCUCACAUGUUCAUUUUCCCUUCCCCUACUUUGAAGAAUUCUAACUGAGGCCUUAGGCUCAUCUCUCGAAGGUGGGCAGGGAGCCUCAGGGGUGCUCAUUCAAAUCGUGAAAAGCACUAGCUCAGUCUUGCUUUGCUGUUUUCAUUUUGUGUAACAGAAACUUUGCCCCCUCACCCAUCUUGGCUCCCUCCUGAGCAGACAAAGAGAAAAACAGAGCCUGCGUGGCCCACCCACCCUGCCAACGGCCCAGAGCUCGUUCUGAGCAACCUGCUCAGUGGCUUCCCCUCCUAACAGGGCUUGGUAGUUGGGGUUCUCUUGAGUUGAGUGAGGCAGCAAGAACACCCCUGUCUCCUGGGUGGUUGCCCACCCUUCACACUGCACCAAAGCCUGUGAGUCCAGCACCCUCAAUCCUAGCCCUAGGUGGGGGACCCCCAUGGCGUGCUGGAGCUGGCUCUCACGGUCUCGUGGAGCCAGCUGUGAGCGCUUCUCUCUGCUCUGUGGUCAGUCAUUUCAUGGCUCGACAUUGUCUGAAGUCUUGAACUCAGCUAUGGUGGGAGAAUUUUCACUACAGAAAUUGGCAAGCACUGCCAGCCAGGGUCCUUCCUCCACCCGGGGAGCUGGUUUUCCAAUUCCCAGCACACCACUGGGGUCCUGCGUGGUUUCCUUGGCAAAGGUCAGACAGAGUCAGGAGUGGGGUCCCCUUCUGGGAUUGUCAGUGAGGGUGGGUGUGUGGAGAGCGGGAGUAGAGAGCAGGCUGCUGGGCAGAGAGGGAGUUGGAAGAGAUUUUUAACAACAAAUCAACUGAGUUCCUGAUGCCCUUCACUCAUUCCGCAAACAUUUUCUGCUCCUGCCCCAAAGCCCUUGGGACUGAGAAGCGCGAAUUGGACCCUGCCUUCCGGGAUUUCACAGUUUGUGGGUGGGAUGGCCCCUCUCCUCUUUCAUAGCUGUUUGCUGGGCCCACCCAAAAUUCUGCGCUGGGGGUAGAGGCAGAGAGAGAGGCAAGAGCAUGUGGUGUGGUAGGGAGGGUGUGAGGACCGCACGGAGUGCACCCAGGAACCUUCACUUUUUAAAGUCAACCCUUUGUGGCUUUGAGGCCACUGUGGUGCUUUGCUCGCUGGUGACAAUAAGCCAUCCAGGAACCUGGCCUCCGUAGCCUCAGCUGGGUCUGACUCCACAGCUGAGAUGUGUGAAUGAGGUGUCUGGAGCUGGACAAACGCCUCAGAAUUCCUGCAGGACUCCCACCAUAUUCCCUCUAGUCAAGACCAAGGCUAGACCAGAGGAAAGGCUCUCUCAGGGGGGAAGGCGAAUAGCCGGACUGAGCUGGGGGCCUGGCUUAAGACAUCUUCCAGCUGCAUGCCCCUUGCUGUCCCAUUUCUGCUGCCCACCCAGCCUUUAAUCGCAAGAGGCGCUGGCAGAGCCGGGGGAUGCGCUGUGGAGGAAACAAUCACAGCCUCGCUCCUGCCUGCAUGGUACCGCGGGCGCCAGGCGGUCACCUUUGACUCGCUCCUCCUCAAAACCCCAAGCUAGCGGAGAUUCUGAUCCCCUUUUAGCAGGGGAGGAAGAUGGGAAUGGGAGGUGGACUGCAGGUCUGGAGCCCUCGGAGGAGAAUUUCUCCCAGAUUAAACAGGCCCCAGAGAGCGUCACCAUCACUGCAAGCCCAGGGAACAGGUGCUGUCUACAUCUGCCAUGAACCCUAGCCCCGUCCCUUCUUGGGUCCCUACUGCUCUUGUCUCUCUUGGUGCCAAUGGUUGUUCCCUGCCGCAGGUCUGAAAGGUGCGCCCUUUGUGCCUGGGGGAGCGGGGUGGCGUGCCCUGGGAGCAGCCGCCCGUUCCCACCAAAGCAGAACCCGGUGUCUCUGGGAGGCUCCCCCAGACCUUCCACCCAGGUCCUCCACCCCCACUCCACAAGGCAGGCCGGGUGACCCCAGCACCA